ensembl:snoRNA
CCCCUUUUAAAAGCAUUCAGUAGUCCUUUUGUUAAUAGCGGAUGAGCUGUCAAGAAAGAGUAGAGUAGAAGCACUGCUUUUGGAUGAAGUAGUGCUGGCCUGUUGUGUAGUUUUGCUUCAAUCAGUGGUAUGACAAAG